GGGGCUGUAGCUCAGAUGGAUAGAGCAUUGGUUUCCUAAACCAAGUGUCGGGAGUUCGAAUCUCCCCAGCCCCACCA
rnacentral:tRNA from 1 species